GACACGGAGACGUGUCCAGGUCGAGCUGUGCGAGAAAUAAGAGGAAGAAAGAAAAGGAGGGAGACACAUUACAUAUCUUGUUAACUUCAGCAUGUGUGUUUAUUUACUAGAUAUUUAAUUUAAUUUGAUGCAGUUUCAGCUGUAUUGAUUCGGUCAGGUUGUGUGCCCAAACGCGUGCCAAACGCGUGCCAAACGCGCUCAUCAGAUCAGAUAUAGAUCAGAAUAUAUCGAUAUAGAUCUAAAUGUAUGUGCUGACUCAGAUUAAUAGUUGUUGAUGAUUAUUUAUUGCACUGAAAUGUGCCUGACACUGUGGAAACCUGCCGGUGAGGCAUCAGUGACGUAUGUCGAUACGCCGCCGGUCUACCAAAAUACUACUAGACCAGCUGCGUUCCGCCUUGCGCUGAAAGCUGACCAGGUUUGAAUCGGCGAGCUUUCAGCGCACGUUACACGCCGGUGGCGAGCACAAAAAUGUCACUGCGCCAGCUGAUUCUGUCAACACCUCCCCCUGCCACGCCACCACGCCCAGCUUGGCGGAUCUCGGCUCGCCUCCGUGCGACUCAGUCCACGAAAAUACCAAACUCGCCUUACGCCGGGCUCCACCAGACGAAAAUACAACUGCGCGGGGCUCGCCGCCCUCCGCCGCCUCACCGGCGCGAACGAAAAUAGAGCCCAUAGUUGUCACCAGUAAGAGAGAGAUCGGCAAAAAUAAGGGAGGAAAUCAACAUGACAAGGUCGAAACCCAUAUCUAUGACAACCGUGAAAUUACGUUUGAGAAAGGCUGGUCUGAAGGGUUGUGUAUCUGCAAAAAAACACUACUUCGUCCACAGAACAAGAAAAAGAGAUAUGAGUGGGCAAAAGCGGUUCAACUAUUUUCCCCAUAACUUUGUAAUUUUUAGUGUUUGACUUUUACCUAAAGGGAAAAAUUGGGGCAAAAAGUAAAAAUUUGGAGUUUGUGUAAUCUAUCUGUUGGCUGUGACUCAGAGAAUGAAUGAAUCUUACAAAACUCUAAAUCUCUAUACCACUUAUUGCUGCUGUUCAACAGCCCAUUAGCUAAAUCCAUAAACACCAUUAUACAAUGCACUUGGGUCAAACUUGUGUGACGACCCCAUCUACUUGUUUUGCUGGCAGUGUCUACUCUGUUUCAGGUGCUGGUGGGUCGUCCUGGAGGGACCACACAUGGGCCCAGUUUGUCUCAAUCUAUAAAAGCAGACUGAAGGCAUUCAACUUUGGCUGAGUUAAUUUGGCAGGCUGCUCCCCCACCACGCUCCUUUUUGCCAUUUUCUUUUACAACCAACAUCGCACCAUCACCCUCACUCAUGCAUGCACACAUCACACCGAUGAUCUACUGAUGUCCACACUUCAUAAUCUAAUGUUUUGUAAAUAAAUAUUGAACUUAGAUAUUUGCUCUGCAUCUCCUCUCAGCUUUUGUCUCUGUCUGUGACACUUUUAUUUAUCAUUUAUCAGUCUAUAUUAAUAAAAUAAAUAAUUUAAAAAAUAAUAAUAAUUGAACACAGACUAAUUUUACAAAUUCAAAUUAUGAGGAAUUAAUCAAAUGCAUUGACAUUUAUGCUGACUUGGCACUAAACUUGUAAUAGUAAGGUUCUCUUUCAUACAUUUUCUUUAAAUUACACUGUCAGAAUGAUGGCUGAUUUAAUUAUUGUACUUUUUUAUUGCAUCUGAAUCUUAAAAAAAAAAAAAAAAAAAAAGAUCUGUCAGCUUUCCAUGCCAGCUCUUUUGGGGACUUGAGCAAGCAUUUUGGGAUGGAAGGCAAAUUAAAGCAACAGAGUGCAGUCAGUGAAUGUGCCCGAGCUCUUUGUCAUGAGGAAUUAGCAGCAGCUUGUUUAAUGUCUUUAGGAUUAUGAUGAUGUGAAUGGUAAUUACGAUCAUGGUAAUGAUGAUUAAAAUGUGGAUGCCUCCAAGGUAAAACAAAAUGAGAGAGAAAAAUAGGCAGUAAAUGAAUUGGUUUUUAAAUGAUCGACUGCUGACUGCUACUGGAAUCGUAGAUAUGCUGAAGAGUAAUUAUCUUUGGUUUAUUCAUGGAGAGAUUACACGUGGUUGUCGGACGCCCUACAUUUGUCAUAUAAGCUGCUAUUUCCUUGCUCUGCUUCCCAUGUUCGUCCACAUUUUCACUUCUCCUCAGGUAUGUCUUUGUCUCUAUUCCACGGCUCUACAGCUGUACACCUUCCCCCAGACUUUUCCUUUGUUUCAUACCUCUUGUUCCUCUUUAUUCAGCUGUGCCUUGGCUGUCUGUAUUUGGGUCCUAAUCCAAUUUUUAGUUUGUUUUUGUUUUUUUCUUCCGUGCUUGCACAGCCAUAUAACAGCACAUUACAGUCACUGCCUGCACGGAAAUCUGCCUGAAGGUGUGCAGCAGUGGUUGUUUGGGUUGACUUAUUGCCUUAUGACAACAUUUGUUUCAAUCUUACUUAAACAUGAGGAAGACCAGUCUUGAGAUGAUUUUGGCAAUGUUGAAUUUUUUUAAAAGCUCUGCAAAUGUUUGACUCCUUUUCAUUACCAGAUAAAAGAAAUAUUCUUACAGUUGUUGUUCAGGAUAUUCAUAGCAAAAUUCUUGGUGAACAUGAAGGAUUACUUUCUGUCCUAAUCUUCCUCUGAAUGAUUUCUCAAGCCAUAUGAGGACAGUAUUUUAAUGUGCAAAAAAGUGAUCAUUAAUAACCACAGUAUAUGGUUCACAGUAUAAGUGUUGGAAGCACUGUCUGAAUUGGUUAUAAUUCUGGAUUUCAGCUCCUGUGCUGCUUAGCCAGCAUGUUUGUUCUACUCACAGGUUCCUCAAAUAAGUGGUAAGUGAUCUGUUUGCCAGUUGGCUGUCACAGGUGGGAAUGCUUAAGUCAAUCUUAAACGCUGUCAGAAUAUCACACACACACACACACACAUACACACACUCUCUCUCUCUCUCUCUCUCUCUCUCUCUCUCUCUCUCUCUCUCUCUCUCACACACACACACACACAUUAGGAGCUCCUCACCCAACAUGACUGCAAAGUCUGCUGUUAACAGGUGAUUCAGGUGGCUGAGCAGCAUACCAGUCAGCUCAAACUGGAGGAGAUGCAGGUGGCCCAGGGGACUACACAGUGAUAUGUGAAAUGGCAGGAAGGGGCGCAAGCAGCAGCAGAAACACUGGGAGACUUGGCUGCUGUAUGCUCAGAACACAUUAACCAAUCAGCGGCUGUUUUUAAAGUACUGCUAGAUAGAAUUACAGACUAAAGGCUGAAGCAUACAGGAUCCUUAUUGAACACCUUCCGUCAGCGACGCGUAUUACGCAGCAAAUAGAUUGCCAUUGUAAUCAACGCAUAAUCGCACACGGGCCCGUAUCAGCUCUGUCACAGCUCUGUAUUACAAGCUUGUUGAGCGAGGCUCUGCUAAAGAUACGCGCCAAGUCUAUUUUUGCUGCUCUACGCUUCCAACGCAUCAAUCUACACAGAUGAUUGUUCUAGACAAGAUGUAAAGCACAGAAACCACGCAUGUCAUUCGGGAAAUUUCAAAAUAAAACACCAUAUGCGAACUCCCGACUGUGUAUCACUUUGUGUAGAUGAGAAAUACUUCCUGGUUAUGGAUUUAUUAGUAACACAGAACAAUCCGAUGGUCAAUCCCUGAUCCAUGUGGACCCUAACAGGACUUUUGCUGCUAACUCAGUCUGAGGGUAACAGCACAGCAUAAAGGAACAUAGUUUACAUUAUUAAACGCACGUAAACCUGCCAAAACUGAAACUGUAAAAUCAGGUUGCUUUUUUACAUACAGUAGAGGCUCAACGGUCACUGAAUUAUUUCUAAAUUAGCAGGAAAUGGACCACAGAAAGACAAAACAACCUGUUGUAAGCAUGUUGUUUCCUCUGGCCCAGCUGACCAGGUCAAUAUAGAUUUGACCUCUUGUGAUGCUUUAAUAUAUUUCUUUUAUGUAUUAUUUGCCAAUACCAUGUUGUUACCUACCUGAUAAGUAUAACUAAUGAAUGAAAUACUGAGCCAUACUUAUUUAUAUGGCAAAAGAGGCUGCAACAUAUUUGUAAAUGAGGGAGGGGGAAAAAAUAUAGAAAGAUAGUAAAAAAAUAAAAAAUGUUAAUAGUACACUUUUUUUUUUUUUUUUUUAACUCAUUGUGUAGUUCAACUUUAAGAUAAAUAGUUUUCCAAAACCCAGGGGAGUCUUUCAUAGAUGAAGAAAAAAAAAUCAGGCUUUUACUUUGAAAAGUAUCUAAGAAGUUACAUAUUUCUCAUGCUUGUGACACUAGCAGAGCUGAGACAGAGCUAAUACAGCCCUCAUCAUAGAAUUUAAUGCGUAUUGUUGGAAUAGAUAACACCUUGAGGAAUAAAGAUGGUGAGAUGCACUCCUCACUGAGAGUCUGAACACAUUCAUAUCUUAACAUGCGAGCCAAAAAUCAAGCUGUCAUGCAGCUCUCUGCCUGAAACAUCAAGGCUGGGUACACUUAACUGUUGAAAUGCCAGCAAAGGUGAAGGUUUCUGUGCCACACUAUACCAAACCUUACCUAACCAGUCUGCUCAGAUAAAAUGUAUGAAAGGGCUCACACACUUGUAAGUACAGUGGCCACCACACUGCAGUUUAAAAUCUGUGAGAUGGUAUGUUAAUAAGAAUCCUUCCCCAUGCAAAUUACAAACCUGAGAACAUUCUGAAGAGUGGAUUUAGGGAAUACAACCCUGGCUCUAUUUCUUAAUCACAACUUCGCAUCACUUAUCUCUUCAAGAUGGUGGAUAUGAGGCAUUCAAAUACCACGCCAACUUAUUAAUACACACAUCUGUUGAGAUGUCUGUUGAGUGUCUAUUUAAUACCAAGGCCUACAGCCCCCCUUUCUUCCUCCCUCUCCUGUCACUCCUAUCUCUCUGUCUCUCUUUCGGUGUCCUGACUGAGGUCUUGAACUCACCGCAGUAUUUUGUAUUCUUUUGAGCAGCUGCGUUAACUUCUACCCAAGUUGUUGGACAUCAUCGGCAUGUUUUAAUAUAUGUCACUUUCUGAUUAACAAUCAAUUUGUAGUUGUGUUACAUCCUUUCAUUCCCAUGAGGGAAUAAUGACAAAGUUUAGUUCAAGAGGCCUUUUUGAAAGGAGCAUUCACCACUGAUCUUCAGUCAGCUGACUCUUAACAGCUUUAAAACAAACACAAUAUCUGUCUGAAUGACAAAAGAUGAACAGAGAUAGUUGUGAAACUAUGUUUGUCCACUGUCUUGCUCUGUCAACAUUUCCCCGCCUUUACUUUUGAGAGAAAUAAAGACCAUCCAUUAAUUUUCAAUGUAGAAAAUCCUCCUAUUUGUUUUUGUGCGCCAGAUGAUUCUCUUUACUUGGCAUCAUGAACAUCAACAUGGCUAACACUGAUGUUUUCUGGCCCUGCAGAAAAAAAACAACAAGCAGAUGUAGGGGAAACUGUGCCAGAGCGACUUGAUGGUGUGACAGUCAGGUGUAUCCGUAAAGGGCUCGAGGAAAUGGUCCAAAAGAUCUCUUGGGUGCAGCUCUAACAGGCAAGUGCUGUUUAUCUCUCAAGUUUGGAGUUCAAAUGCAGUAGAGACAGAUACAGAUUUGAUAAGCUCUUUUAACACAGGACUAGAAGACAUGUUUGGCUUUCUCAAAAAAGAUAAUGACUGAGAGGCAAGACAGUUAUCCAACAUUGCAUCCAUGAGGUGUUUCGAUGGUCUCACAUUUCAUGCAUCUUGAAUAGAUACACUUCUAGUUUAUUCAAUUCAGCUGAUCAGAGCAGAUCUAAGCUCUCCCGAGUGACCUAUAACCAUAGACUGUAUACAGAAUAGACGCUGUGCUGGGUGAAGCCACCGUGAGAACAGCACCCUCUGGUGACAGGCUGCAGUAUAGGUCAUGAAUCCCGCCUCCUCCAGCAAUCCCUAUGGAGCUGUGGACAAACUUUAGAAAUUUAUUACACAAAAUAUUAAAUCUUCUCCCCCCUGCUUGCAAUGUUGACAUGUAGCUAUUGUAAAGCCGCGUUCAGACCAAACGCGACCUGAAGUGACCUAGUCGCGUUGGUCGCUGUAUUCCCGUCGCGUCCUGGUGUGUUUACACCGGGUCCAAAGCUGCAGUCGCAGAGGUCGCAGGACGCGGCUGAUCGCCGCUGACCCGCUUCUCCCACCUUCCUUCUCCCUCCUUUUCUCCCUCAUAUAUACAUCCCGCAGCCCCUUCCAGUGCUUGCGGCACACACACACACACACACACGUUGAAACAUGUAGCCUAGCAAGCAGGGGAAGUUUGCUAUGUUUUCAGAAAAUAGUCUGCUCACUGAAAUAAAUAAACAAACUUACCAGAAAGCCCGAAAUCAUGGGCCACUUUCGCCCAUGCCUCCUCCUUGGAGGUGCGGUCCCAGUAGAAUGCGCACCCCCUGUCGCACAGGACCGGGUGAUAACUCACGGCAGUCAUAAGCUGCUCCUCCAUUGUGAUUCUUCUUCUCCUCCUCCUUGCUUCGCCGGUUUGUUGACGUCAGCAGAGCCCUGAUUGGCUGUCGUGGCACAGCGUCGCGGAAAGUCCCAAAGGGAGCAACGAGACUUGGCGUCCUGCAACCACGGGCGACGCGACCUCGGCGACCAUGCGCGACCUGGUUGCUAACGUUGCAUCGCCGGCAGCCGGCGGUUGCCAAGUCGCGUCAGGUCGUGGCUGUACAUAAACUUUGCAUUGGGAGUCCUUGCUCAGGUCGCCGAGGUCGCGUUUGGUCUGAACGCAGCUUAAGACUAGUUUGUGCUCAAGUCCUCUUUUUUCUGUACAGCUCCAUUUUCAAAGCUAUUAGGGGGUUCAUGUUUUCCACGAUUGGCACUUGAUACAGCCUAUGGGCGUAUGAAGCUUGCGUAGCUCGACUGGGGGAUACACUGUUCGAGCCGAGCGUCAUGUAUUUUUUAAAAGAAAAAGUAAGACAUUUCAACAAGCUGAACUGACACUCUGAUCCUCUCAUCAUACAGAACUACUAUAAUGACUUUAUUAGUCCUCUAAGCUAAAAUGGUGGACUUUUAUGCUAGGUUUUUGACCUCGUGUUGAAGCUCAUAGGUACAACAAUUGAUGUCCAAAACAAAUUUAGAAUUAUCUUUUUUGGUCUGAACACAAUUCUAAUGAAACUUAUGAUGGAGUAAAUUCACUUUGAAGAGUAUAUAAUGUUUUUUUGGAAUUAAAUGUCUAACCUCUUCACCCAUGUGCUUCUAACCUUCACAGACUCCAUGAACUGAUGCCCAUUUCCUAAAAAUUUGGUCACACAAUCAAUUUCUUUUACCAUUUCCAAGCAACAGGGGGUGGCUCAACUUACCCCAGUCUCCCCUAAUUGCCAACACAUUUUCGUACAGUGAUUUGUGACAGUGACUUUUCACAUGUUCCUGGCAUGUGGGGUGCGUUUUAAAGAAAACAAUCCUGAUUUAAAUCAAUCAAAUACCGUGAAAUGAUAUUUUUGUGCUUGACGUCAUCCACACACACAUACAGCACCAUAAACAGUACUGUGUAAAUUAGCUUGACUUAGUGGCUACUAUGGGCACAGCUACAAGGCUAUUGUAGGCUAUUUCAUCACAGUGACUCUCCCGCCGAAUGUGUACAAUGCUACUGUGCAAGUGGUGGUUCCAGGAAGUGGAGAAAAUCCAAGAAAUCCUGAGAGCUUUUUGGCCUCAAAUUUGUGUAACGACAGAAGGCAGAACCAAGUUGUCCAUUGUAUAUACAGUCUAUGCCUAUAUAUACUGCCCCUACAUCCUGUGUAGAUACUCACAGAACAGCAGCUUUACAGCAAGGGCUGGUCUGAACUGUUUAUACACAAUGUAAUUUUAAUUGUCUUGACACAUGAAGUGGUUCUGCAUCUAUUAGACUUAAUUUAUUAUUCUUUCCAGGCUCCUUUAUCUCACUAGUUAAAGGUAGCACAUUUACUUAAGGUGAGAUGGUUAGUGCAUUGUCUUGUGUGUGGGUGUUGUUUCACUUUAUACUAUGAGGUGAAGAAGGCCAGAUUAUUCCCAAAUAACAUGUUGCAAAUCUUUAUAAAUGCAACCAAUUACAUGCCAGGCUCUGUGUACCAUCUAACCUGCAAUUAUGAGAUGUUAUUUGUGCCCUGAAAAAUGUCUUGCCUUAUGAACCAGCUGUUCGAGGCUCAUUCCCGGCUCAAAGCUGAGACCAAGCACAGCUAACAUGAAAUGGAUAGAAGCCUGUAAUUGUGAACCCCAUUCCAGCUGGCACCUCGCCCUGGAAGAAGACACAUCCCCUGCCCCUGUUCAGGUCCUCAACCAGAUCUGCCUGUUUCCCCUCUGCACUGAGCUAAACGUUUAACCUCUUCAAUGACUUUUCUGUUUUGGGGGGAAAAAAUUCUGGGCACUGCCAGUGAUGUAAGUGGCGCCACUCCAGGCAGGAUCAGUGGCUGUCGCUCAUGCUCACAGAUCAGGAAGAACUAAGACCUGUCAGUCUGUGGUAGCACAGGAGCUCAAGGGGACAAAGGACACACUGGCACAGGUUUCAUUUGACUUUCCCCUGUCAGUUUCAUACCGCAAACCAGCAGAACAAAUUAGAGGUUUUGGCUCUGUGCACCUGUUAAUGAGACCUAAAACUGGAUUUAACACAUGAGUAACAUAAAUGCCAUUUAAUUAUGCUUUUGGCCAAAAAUGUAACAUUGCAUUUAUACAUACACACAUUUAUACACAGUAUAAGGUAUGUCCCCUGGUAUGAGUAGUUUGUGUUUAUGUACAAAUACAUAGAGGAGCAGUUUGGUGCAUGCAGGUUAGAACUGCAUUCAAGCUCUUGGGUCAGGCUUGUCCGGAGUAAUGUGUAAUAUCUCUGGUUGUAUUACCUUAUGUUUACUCUGUCUCCACACAAAAGGAGCUGGUAUGAUAAGAUGGCAUUGGCCAUCUUAUCCAGCUUUCCUCAAUGUAAGAACAACAGUGCCUCCUAGGGUAAAAAAAAGCAGCGCAUAAUCUGUGUUAUCCUCCUCCUCCUCUCUCUCUCCCUCCCUCUCUCUCUUUCCAUCUCCAUCCCUUUGUUUCUCGGAUUUUGGGGCAGAGCCGUUGGGCUUUCUGUGAGACACAUGAUGCAGCUAAGGUUUUGCAAAUGUGUAGGAGGCUUUCAUAUGACUGUUUCUGUAAAGUUGCACAGAGUGAAGAGAGCACAGAAAUGUUGUUGCAGUGUUGGAAAGUAGAGAAAGAACACUGAAAAAAAGAAUGUAAUGUUUUGACAGAGUAGAAAAGUAGUGAACCAAAGAAGUAAGAGCCAUUUUCUUUUUCCUUCACUUAAUGUUUGUCUGGCGACACAAAUAAGGCCAGCAUGUCAAUCAUCAAGUAAAGUGUUUUGAUAGUAAAGUAGCGCAAGCAAAUAAUGUGGAAACUAUGCUUUUAUUAUCACAUCAGAACAUAUUGUGCAUGCAUUGUACUUUUCAAAGGAAACAUGUAUUGCUGUCACAGUCAUAGCUUGGAUGAUAGCAUUCAUGACAAACUCUUAUAUCACAGGGCUCUUAAUCCCCUUUUUAGUUGAGUUUUCUGAUCCAGUUUUGGGUUUUCUGCCAUUGCUUCCAGCCCUCCUGCUAAGUUAUUUACCGCAAACAUCUUGCUCACAUAAUGAUUAUGCUACUUCAUAAGAAGGGCCUCAUAAGAGCAGCGAACAUCAAGUGGAUUCUUGACUUGAGCACCACAUGGGGUGCUUGGAGUGAAUUGGUUUUGGGAUCUUGAAACUCAAACUCUGAACACGACUGCUUGCACCGCCAAGCCUUGCAGGUCGGUUUCUUGCCCAGAGAGCAUUUUUAUACUGCUUAGCUCUUCCUCAAAUAUCCGCAAGCCUUUUCCUACUUUUUUUCCUGACAGUUUGAGGUGUUGGUGUCAUUGUUUCUCCGGUCUUAUACAGAACUUUCAGGGUUUUUUUGUUGCUGUUCUCACCUUCAGAAUUUAUCAUAAGGUUUCCAGAGUAUCUCAAUCAGGCUUCUCUAAGCCAUCCAACAUUUUCCUGUAUCUGGACAUUAUCAUGUUUAGGGUAAUAAGGAUUGAAUACGAAAUGAUUAGAUACAAGAUCUGGAGAUUCAGCUCGGAAGA